rnacentral:lncRNA from 1 species
CAUUCAAUACUGCUCUCUGGCUAAUGGCGGCCGGCUUUCCUCCUUCCUUCCGCCAUCCUGCUUUUCCCUGGUUGUCGCUGGGAGCCGAGAGGCAGCCCCGGGCCCUAACAGCCUGCCAGGUCUUGGCCGGAGACCGGAGCCAUGUCUGUGUUAUCCCCACUGUAGACAAUCCUUGCUUCCUCUGGACAUCUGGAGCAGGCCCAAUUUGACUGAGAGCCUUCCCCCACUAAGGUAGUUACAGAUCCAGCCCCACCAUCACCACCAGAGUUGAGUCCAAAUCCAACACUCUAGGCCGGGUAGUGCUGGGACUUUGCCAGCCUCCUGCUGAGAAGUGAAUUCUCCCCUUGGCAAACUGCAGCCAGCCAGCCUCCUGGGUCGAGAGCCAAGCCAAAAGAUGUCUGAGAGAAGAAACCUGGGGUCCUGCAAAGCCCUCCUCCUCCCCCCCCCCCCCCUUCAGCCAGCACUUAGGCCCUCCCUGAUUUAGCCCGUUACCUUGACAACCACUUGGGCCUGUCUCCCUCAUCACCACUGAAAACCUGAAGGUGGUUUUCCAGCUGCGGUACAUUUGCCCAAGUUGGGCACCCCUCCAGCUUCUAUUGGCUCGCCCUCUAUACAGCUGUACCCAAUAUAACAAACACAACCUUCCUGGCCCCUCAGCUGUAGUCUCGAAAUUGAUCUCACUGGUCCCGGGAACUCCGUCAAUACUGCCUCCUCUAGACUGAGCUCCUCACAGGCAGGAACAUGGUUGUUUCUCAAUAAACAAGUUGCAAAAAAA